ACUGUGAGCAGCUGGUGGGAGUCAGUUUUGGCUGUUUGAUUUCCUAGUGACUCUGAGGUAUGUAUUUUUUAUUAAAAAAAAAAAAAAAAGUUAUAUGUACAGCAAAUACCUUUUUCAAACAUUUUUGUAUUUUGAGUUACAACUAUAAUGACAUCAAUUGCUACUUAGCAUCUUUUGACAUUAUUAGAGAAAAAUUAUAUAACGCAAACCAUCAAUAAGCAAAUGAAUGUUAAUUUUUUUAAUUGCUAAAAUAUUAAUGUGCAAUUUACAUUAGCAACUCAAGUAAUUGACAUAUACUUGACUAAUUCAGAACCCUAGUAUUCUCUGUUCCCUAUAGAAAGAUUAAAACAUUCAGUAUGCUUUUUCAGCACGCUUCACAAGAAGGGAUGCAUAGCAGAAACUGCCAGUCAGUUCUAAAGCUUUAAAUGGUUAAUAGCUUCUAGUAAAUUUACUGUACUACCAAAGCUAAUUAGGAUAAUUUUUUUUGCCAUAAUUAUAUGUUUAUUAGUAAAAAGUCAUUACUGCUAACUAUUAAGAAUAAAUGACCACACAAAAUAUGAAGUAAUUUAAUAACUUUAAAAUUUUAGACUAUUCUAAUCUCCACAGACAAAAUUUGAUACUUUCUCUAUGGCUCACAGCAGGUUUAAUGGAUAGCAAGAAAGUGCAGUAAUGUGUGAACCAAAACAUUAACUACAAACAAAGAGAAAUUUCUUCUCAGCCGCUGUCAUUUCAAGUUUUUAAGUGGCAGAGGAUCCUACAUUCCUAAUGCAUAUAAUAAUGUGUCUAUUGUAGCUUCCAUAGAAACAAAUCAGAGGCAUUGCUUUUGGAACAACCUACAUAUUUAAUGAGUUAUAAAGCAGAGCUGAGGCCCUUGAACCUGAUUUUUUCUCUCAGCUCCAACAAGUAAAAGACUGUCCUUCCAGUGUUAGGGUCUGCACUGAAGGGCUGAAAACAAGGCUUGUGGAGAACUGCUGGCUGAAAUACAAGGUUGUGGCUUUAAAAGGAGAAGUGAAUGUAUCAAGAUGAAACACUUUGUGAGGAGGCGAAAAAGAAAGGUGUGGUGCACUGACCUUGGCCAGCUGACAGCACUGCUCUCUGUUUGCCUCCUCAUGAAGUCAGUGGGAGAAAACAAAAAUAAAAGCUGACAGGCCAAGGUAAACGUAGGGAGAUCACUUACCCAUUCUCACUGUGGGCAAAACAGGCUCCAUAGGCUGUCAAGCCACCUCUGCUCUUAGCAUUCAGUGCUCUCCUCCUCCCCUCUCCAUUUUCCUCCAGCCUCAGUGUUAGUAGAGUUGUUUCUGCUUUUCCUUUGCUCUGUUCUCCAGUGCUCAGCCUUUUCUGGAACAUUUGCACAGCAGCUCUGCUGAUGGCUCAGCUGUGGAAGCAGCUGUGGUAGGCCAGGCCUUUCUCCACACAGAGCCCGUCCUGCAGCUGCUGCUGCCAGCACCUGGCUGCUCACAACAAAAGGUUUGGGGAGAAAAUGAAGUAAGUUUUAAAAACUUCUCAAAGUCAGUUCAGUGUAAUAACAGUUGUUAGUCUAGGAAAAAAUGUAGCAGAAGUUAAGUCUGGAAUAGAGGCAUAAAACGUAAAACAAGUUGAAAGUUACUGAUACAGUACUUCCUACUUAAUGAAAUCAUUGAGACUUUUCAUCCCAAUUUAGGGCAAUAUGCACUCAAAAUCUGAAAUAUUCAAGUCUCUGCAGUGUUUCCUGUAAGGUGUUAGUAAAGACUGGCUAUCAGAGACAAAAGUUCUCACACUGCAGAAGAUAAAGAAAUGGCCAAAAAUGCCUCCAUAGCAUUUGUUUGAAAUGCAUGAAGAGGCAAGUGUUCAGUGCUGUGCUGCUCAAUGCAGUGCAUCCACUGGAGUUUUUUUCCCCUCCAUCUCUGCUUCCUUUGUAGUAGAGUUACAGAUUCCCCUAUUUGUAAAGAGUAAAAGAAGCUGCAGGUUAUCACAUACCAUGCAUCAUGAUCACUUCUGGUCUAAUCACCUUAGACAAUUAAUUUCAAGCUCUUUCAAGUAUUAUGAGCUUGGAAGAAAAUCAGGACCAUCUCAGGAAGCUGCUUUUUAAAUAUUGUAGAACUUUACUCUCUUUUUUUUCUUUCCAGUAGGUUUGCAGCAAAAUCAGCCAAAUUAUAUUAGUUAUGCUUUAAAUUCCAAUUUCCACAGUUCUUUCGUUCUGUAUCUCCCUCCUUUUUUCAUCUCAACACCUCACUUCCUUAGAUUUUUAGUGUAACGAAUCUCAGACUCCAGUGAAUAAAGUGAAAUAGAAAAAGAGGAAGCUAUCAUGAGCUUCUGAAUUUGUGUUUCCCAGGUUCAGAAAGUUUUCUGGGGUUUGAUGAUAUCCCAGCCAUUUCUGUAGUUAUUAGCUGCUGUUGCUGCUUUAUACAGUCUUUCUUAUUUUGUCCAUCAAUAGUUAUUGACCCUAGAAAACAACAGUGGUGAAAAUGAAAAAAUAAACAAACAAAAGAAGCUGAUAAUAUGUACGGGUUCUGCUUUCUUAAAAUGUUUUGAGAACACUGAUGCCACGACGUCUGAAAGCUUCUAGUAAGUGCACAAAUAGGCCCUAUCACAUUGUUACAUUAACAGUUGUUCAAAAUUAGAACAAAAUUACUUUAUCUGCUUUCAAAAGCAUUUUACUGCACUCUAGUCUCCCUAGAAGUAUUUGGGAAAUGGUUCCCAAACUGUCCCAAAGACAGUUUUCUCUGUCUUAUUGUGAAAAUAAAUUUCAAAGUUGCAUUUGCAGAUACCUGAAGCUCUCAGGUAAUGUAUUUACACAAAAUAUCCAGAUGAUUUUUUCAGAAGUGAAAUGCACAGUCUCACCAGUAUUACUAUUCCAGGGAGAGCUCAUUACCACACUGCAGAAACCCUGAUCUGCUGUCCUCACACCAAGAUCAUAUGGAUGCUGAACCAAGAGGAUGACAUGUCCCAUCUUGCAGCUCGAUGUGUCCACUACCAGAGAAAAUUGCUUCCCUCUUGCAGAGGUGUCUAGACCAGUAGAAGCUCUGUGUGACCCAGUCAUUACCUGCUAAACUUAUCUCUUAGGCGAGAAUCCUGACAAAUUUGAAUUGUCUAAUUUUAGAGCGCUUUUUUAAUAACCAUCACUCUUUCCCAAAAAAGUUUUUUUACAAUAUUAGAAAUAUCUUAAUCCUCCUUCAAUAACAGAACAGAAGAGAGAAAUUGCUACAGCUAUCAUUAUUGGAAGAAAUAGCUUUAUACUGAAAGGAUAAAAUGGACUUUUUCUGUCUAACCUGGAAACGACUUACAGGAUUUAUUUUCUGACACAGCCUCUGUGACUACCUGAGUAGGUAUCUCAAAUGCAGUGUCUAACUUAAGACUAGGUCCCUUAUUAAUUGUUCAUUUGUUU
rnacentral:lncRNA from 1 species